rnacentral:tRNA from 1 species
AGUUAAUGAGCUUGAAUAAGUAUAUAUUUUGAAAAUAUAAGAUAAGAAUAUUAUUUCUUAUUAACUU